rnacentral:sRNA from 1 species
GCCUAGCCCGGAUAGCAGUGGAAAUCCUUUUCUAAAGCUUCCAGCCUUUUGAAGGCUGGAAGCUUUAGAAAAGAUUGUAAUGUAUAGCCGGAAGUAGC